UGGUGCGGUCAUACCAGGGCUACUACACCGGAUCCCAUCAGAAGUUAAGCGCCCUUGGGCCGGAUCAGUACU
rnacentral:rRNA from 1 species